AGUGAACGCUGGCGGUAGGCCUAACACAUGCAAGUCGAACGGCAGCACAGUAAGAGCUUGCUCUUACGGGUGGCGAGUGGCGGACGGGUGAGGAAUACAUCGGAAUAUACUUUUUCGUGGGGGGUAACGUAGGGAAACUUACGCUAAUACCGCAUACGACCUACGGGUGAAAGCAGGGGAUCUUCGGACCUUGCGCGACUGAAUGAGCCGAUGUCGGAUUAGCUAGUUGGCGGGGUAAAGGCCCACCAAGGCGACGAUCCGUAGCUGCUCUGAGAGGAUGGUCAGCCACAGUGGACCGGCGAAACGGUACAGACACACACGGGAGGCAGCAGUGGGGAAUAUUGGACAAGGGGCGCAAGCCUGAUCCGACAAUAGGAGGGAGGGAAAGAAGGCGUUGGGGUUAGGAAGCCGUUUCGUUGAGAACGAAAACAAGCACGUUAAUCCCCCGAUGUUGAGAAGGUACCCAAAGGAUAAGCACCGGCUAACUUCGUG
rnacentral:rRNA from 1 species